GUAGUCUGCAACCCGACUACAUGAAGCUGGAAUCGCUAGUAAUCGCGGAUCAGAAUGCCGCGGUGAGUACGUUCCCGGGUCUUGUACACACCGCCCGUCACACCAUGGAGUCGGAAAUGCCCGAAGUCUGUGACCCAACCUACGGGAGGGAGCAGCCGAAGGCAGGUCGGAUGACUGGGGUGAAGUCGUAACAAGGUAUC
rnacentral:rRNA from 1 species